rnacentral:rRNA from 1 species
UACGGGGGGGGCAAGCGUUGUUCGGAAUUACUGGGCGUAAAGGGCUCGUAGGCGGCCAACUAAGUCAUACGUGAAAUCCCUCGGCUUAACCGGGGAAUUGCGUCUGAUACUGGAUGGCUUGAGUUCGGGAGAGGGAUGCGGAAUUCCAGGUGUAGCGGUGAAAUGCGUAGAUAUCUGGAGGAACACCGGUGGCGAAGGCGGCAUCCUGGACCGACACUGACACUGAGGAGCGAAAGCCAGGGGAGCAAACGGG